rnacentral:rRNA from 1 species
CCCGCACAAGCGGUGGAGCAUGUGGUUUAAUCGAUGGUACGCGAGAAACCUUACCAGGGCUUGACAUACGCUGGAAGCGGUCCGAAAGGAUCGUGCCGCUUGCGGCCGGCGUACAGGUGCUGCAUGGCUGUCGUCAGCUCGUGCUGUGAAGUGUUGGGUUAAGUCCCGCAACGAGCGCAACCCCUGCUGUCUGUUGCCACCACGAGAGGUGGGGACUCAGGCGGAACUGCCGGUGACAAACCGGAGGAAGUGGGGACGACGUCAAGUCAUCAUGGCCCUUAUGUCCUGGGCUACACACGUGCUACAAUGGCCGGUACAGAGCGCAGCGAGGCCGCGAGGCGGAGCGAAUCGCUUAAAGCCGGUCCCAGUACGGAUUGGAGUCUGCAACCCGACUCCAUGAAGUUGGAAUCGCUAGUAAUCGCGCAUCAGCAUGGCGCGGUGAAUACGUUCCCGGGCCUU